UGCUGGAGCCUGAUAGCCAUGAUAGAGCCAUGGUACAGGCAGGCAAUCCUGACAUAGACAUGCCCUUCGGGCGGAGAG
rnacentral:snRNA from 1 species